rnacentral:lncRNA from 1 species
CAUUUCUAAGAGCUCAACAAACAUUAUCUAUCAUAAGAGACAGAGAUUUGGAAUGAAGUCUAGAUGUUUCUGCAGAUUUAAGUGUAUAUGAGAAGGUUUGGAGUCCACAGAUUGGAAACCAAAGCUCUGGAUUCUGUUCUUGCGUUCUUGUUCUGCAUAGAAAGAGAAAAUGAUCGCUCCAUAUCCUUCAUAUGUAAAUCUUCAAUGCAAUCACGGCACCAGUCCCUCUUAGGGCUCGGACUCCCGUUGGCAGGCUGAUGAAACGAAGGGUUGUUGUUCUCCCUACUUCCUCCAUCCAGUCUUGGGAAGAGACCUUUAAAGACAAACACCGACCCAUCAGAAGAGCUCAGCUCCACUUCUGUCUCACUCCUUGCUGUUUGCCUCUCAACUGUGAAAUGGGGAUGGUGUUAUUGGCUAACCUAUUGAGUUACGGCAAAGAAUGAGAAAAUAAGUUUCCGUAAGUAUAAAGUUUUACCUAGUUUCUUCUUUAAACAAAUAACAAUUGUAAAAUUAA